rnacentral:rRNA from 1 species
GACAGAGGUGCCGAGCGUUAGGCGGAAUCACUGGGCUUAAAGCGUGUGUAGGCGGGCGGGCAAGUACCUUGUGAAAUCCCACGGCUCAACCGUGGAACGGCUGGGUAUACUGCCUGUCUUGAGCCAACUAGGGGCGAGCGGAACAGACGGUGGAGCGGUGAAAUGCGUAGAUAUCGUCUGGAACGCCAAAGGUGAAAACAGCUCGCUGGGGUGUGCUGACGCUGGAGACACGAAAGCCAGGGGAGCGAACGGG